rnacentral:rRNA from 1 species
UAUAGAACAUAUAAUUAUAUAUAUAUAUAACUAUAUAAAGAAAUUAUUCAGGGAGACUUAGCUAUGUAUUAACGAGUCUAAAUUCUUUGUUUUGUUUGAAUUCUAAUUUAAUUAUUUUUAAUAGUAAAUUAAGUUUAAACAAAUAAUUGUAAAUAUAAAAUCUAAGAGAAAUCAGAUAGUUGACGAAGUGAAUUGAAAUAUCUUAGUAGCCUCCCGAAAAGAAAUCAAAAGAGAUUCUAUUAUUAACGUGAGCUAAAAUAGAACAGUCUAUAUCUUAAGUAAAAAGGCUACAACUGUUUGAAUUAAUUGGGGGACCUUCCUCAAAGGCUAAAUAUCAUACAUGAGCGAUAGUAUACGAGUACCGUGAGGGAAACGUUUUCUAGGAGUAAUUUUCUAAGCAGUUCAAGCGAAAGUAAGAACGUACCUUUUGCAUAAUGGGUCAUCAACUUAACAUUAGAUGCGAGCUAAAGCGUAGAUAAACCAAUCGUUAAAAUAACGAAAAGUGUCUAAAGUUCGACCCGAAGCCCGGUGCUUUUACCACAAUCAGGAUUCCAAAGGUCCGAACGGGUUAUCGUUGUCAAGAUAUACGAGGAAUUGUGGUCGGUAGUGAAAGACAAUACUGACCGGGAUAGCUGGUUUUCUGCGAAACCUAUAACAGUAGGCAAUUUGAGUAACAUCUUAGCAGGUACAGCACUUAAUCUCAGGCAAGGUGUAAAAACUUUAAAGUGCAAACUUUAAAAAUACAUCAAACAUAUAUAUUUAAAUAUUUGUGCAUCUCGGGGGAUCGUGAAGAUUUUAUCGGUGAGUAUGUAGACUCGGAAUGGCAAAGAUGAAUCUUUAAUUAUCGGACAUAGAAUGAUAAGGUUGUAUCUCGACAGGGAAACAGCCCAGAACAAGAGUUAAGGUUCCAAAAUUAUUUGUUGAGUGAAAUUACGAAGGUUAAAAUUAAAGUCGCCAAGGAGAUUGGCUUAGAAGCAGCCAUAAUUUAAAGUACUCGUAACAGAGCGCUUGUUAAGUUUUAUAAGCAUCGAAAAUUUACCGGAUCUAAACAAUAUACCGAAACCUUGUCCCUAAAUAACAAUAAUAUUAAUUAUUGUAAUUAUAUGGGGUCGCAGAACGUUGAAUUAAAUUAAGAAAUUUAGUAUAAAAAUAAAUAACAAAAAAUUCAAGUGAGAAUGGUGACAUGAGUAACCAUAAGAAGGAAAUAAAAAAUCCUCCGCCUAAAGCUUAUGGAUCAAGGAAAAGUAAAGGCCUCUCAGUUUGGAACCUAAAGGUUUAAAUGAUGAGAAAAUCUUUUUUACUAUAUAACAACAUUUCUAAGUGAAAAAUGUUCAGGAAAAAGUAGUAAAUAUAUAUAUAGAAACAUAUAUGAAUAUAACCGUACCUAGAUUCUAUCAAAAGUAAGCUAGUAGCGUAUACGAAGGCGUCAAUGAGAUAACAAUCAUAAAGGAACUCGGCAAACUAACUACCGUAAAUUCGGGAUAAGGAGAGCUCAUUAGUCUUGAAUAAUAUCAGGUAAAAAGGAAGAAGCAUAAAAUAGUGUUGUACGCCUGUUUAAUUAAAACACAGCACUUCGCUAAAAGAUGAAAAAAUCUAAGUAUUGAGUGUGAUGUCUGCCCGAUCCCGGCAGGUUAACGGAUUAAUUGAAUUAUUCAAAAUUUGGUUUUGAAGGAACCCCCGGUUAAUGGCGGCCUUAACGUGAGGGUCCUAAGCUAGCGAAAUGCCUUGGCCGUUCAAUGCGGUCUUGCAUGAAUGAUGUAACGAUACAACAGCUGUCUAUCUGAUUGACUCAGUGAAAUUAUAAUAACUGUGCAGAUACAGUUUACCUCUAGUUAGACGAGAAGCCCCUAUGCAGCUUUACUGUUACUAAUAAUAAAAUAUGAUAUGAAAAUUUUAGACAUAAGGUAUUUGAUUAAAUGACUAUGAAAAACCUUUAUUUAUAAUUCGUGUUUCAGAAUAAAUAAAAACCUAGUCUGAUUUUAGCCUUGGUAAGGAAUAUAUUAUUAGAAGACAGUUUAUGUGGGGCACAGGCCCCUUAAAGAGUAAAAGGGAGUGUCUAAUUAUUAUUAGUUAUAUCUCUAUAACCAUGUUUGCGGUUUUAUGUAGAUUAAGUGUUUUAUACAUUUCCUAUAUUAAAUCCUCUCCAAUUAUUUAGCGAGUGACUCUUUUGUACCUUUAAUGGUAGGGGUACUCCUAAGUCAAGAAAAGCAAAUUUUAAGGUACGUUUACCCCCUAUAGUGAAAAUAGGUGUAUAGAAAAAAAUAUUAUGAAAUUUUCUAAUAUUUUAUUAGUUAGGAAAGAAAACUUUGCUAAUUAUGUUUCAUACUUACAGAGCUCAACGGCUUAAGCGUGCCUUACUGUUUGAUUAACAAAAAAUCUUACCGUUGCGUACGCAGGGCAUAGGAUCACAAGAUGCAAUAAGGAAAGAUCUUGGAUUCUUGGAAAAGCUACGCUAGGGAUAACCAUUUUGUGAAAAAUAGAAAUAAAUAAAUUAUGAUAACAAGUAGAACAGGCUAAUUUGCGCAAGAGUGUACAAAAUGAGUGCGCGGUUUGGCACCUCGAUGUCGGCUUAACUUACCCUCAUGGAAGCAGAAACUAUGUAGGGUACGACUGUUCGUCGAUUAAAAAGUUACACGCGCUGGGUUCAAUACGUCGUGAGACAGUAUGGUUUCUAUCUUCUAGAGGGAAUUGGAAUAAAAUAACGAUUAACAUUUGUACGAAAGGAACAGGAGAAGCUUAAUCCAAAAGAUUAGGUAUUAUUAAUUCUUAACCUAUGGUUUCCCUGUUGUUUAUAAGCCCAAUAUUAAAUAAUUGUAAGACUUACAAGGGAUGUUACUCUCACUUAACUAAAUUUAUAUUAUAGGCACGGCAGGACAGCUAAGUUAGUUUAAAGAUAAGUGAUGAAAGCAUAUAGGCACGAAGCUUACCUUAGGAUAUUUCUAAUUUCGAAACCUAAUAGCAUAUUACGGCAUAUGCAAUAGGCUUUGUUUGUAAGGAUCUAGAGAUUUUCAGAUACACAGUACUAAUUAGAAAAAUUACUAUUUAUUAAUAUAUCUU